rnacentral:rRNA from 1 species
UACGUUGGGGGCAAGCGUUGUCCGGAUUUAUUGGGCGUAAAGAGCUCGUAGGCGGUUUGUCGCGUCUGCUGUGAAAACCCGAGGCUCAACCUCGGGCCUGCAGUGGGUACGGGCAAACUAGAGUGCGGUAGGGGAGAAUGGAAUUCCUGGUGUAGCGGUGGAAUGCGCAGAUAUCAGGAGGAACACCGAUGGCGAAGGCAGUUCUCUGGGCCGUAACUGACGCUGAGGAGCGAAAGCGUGGGGAGCGAACAGG